rnacentral:lncRNA from 1 species
GGUUUGUAUAUGGAGAUUGGCAACGGGUGAGGCUCUUCGAGAAGUGUCUAAGCGUUUUGGAUUAGGAAUUUCGACUUGUCAUAAGCUGGUGUUUGAGGUUUGUUCCGCGAUGAAGAGUGUUUUGAUGCCUAAGUUUCUGCAGUGGCCUGAUGAAAAUAAGAUGAAGGAGACUACGGAGAAAUUUGAAUUUAAAUCUGGGAUUCCAAAUGUGGGUGGUUCAAUUUACACCACUCAUGUUCCAAUCGUUGCUCCGAAGACUAAUCUUUCGGCUUAUUUUAAUAAGAGGCACACAGAGAGGAAUCAAAAGACUUCUUAUUCAAUCACAGUCCAAGGAGUAGUCGAUUCAAUGGGAGUUUUCACAGAUAUUUGCAUUGGGUGGCCUGGUUCAAUGACUGAUGAUCAGGUCUUGGAGAAAUCCGCGCUUUUCCAGAGAGCAAAUCGGGGGGCUAUGAAGGAUGUUUGGGUUGUUGGGAAUUCGGGUUUUCCAUUAAUGGAUUGGACAUUGGUUCCUUAUACUCAUCAGAAUCUUACUUGGUCACAACAUGCUUUUAAUGGGAAAGUUGAUGAGGUUCAGAGGGUUGCCAGGGAUGCAUUUAUGCGAUUGAAAGCAAGGUGGAGCUGCUUGCAGAGGAGAACAGAGAUUAAAUUACAGGAUCUUCCUGUCGUCCUUGGAGCUUGUUGCGUCUUGCAUAAUAUAUGUGAGAUGCGAAAUGAGCAAUUGAAUCCCGAGCUGAAGUUUGAUAUUUUUGAUGAUGAAAUGAUUGCAGAAAA